GCCAAGUUACCCAACCGCAGCUCAGCCUCUGCCUGAGUUUCUGGCUCUCUCCUCUGUGUCCAACUUCUCUCACACCCUCUCUGCCUCCCAGCCCCUCCCCUCCUUCUUGGGACCCUUACUCCUCACUGCCCUCACCCUCUCCCUCACAAAUUCGUGUGACACAGGCAGGUCUCUAAGAGCCACGCGCCAGCAGGCUUCACCUGAGCACAGCCGGACGCAGACGGGAGCACCUCCUGGUGGAAAUGCCAGGCCUGAGUGUCUCUCCUUGUGGUUUCCAGGCCUCUGCCUAGCACUAGGCAUCCCGAAAACUUCCUUUUUAAGGCUUAUCCUCCGUCAGCCCGUAGGCCAGACCUCUUUUUAUUUGACUUGGCUCUGGCGAGGGUGGGAGGGAGGCGGCUUGGUAAAAAGGGAAACCAGUCCCUUACAGCAGCGCCCCUCCUGAGGCUUUUGGGGGGGGUCUCGGGGAGCACAAGGGGUGUGAGCCGUGUUGUUUGUUUAAGAGAAAAAAGAGAUGCGAUGGUCUCCCAACACACGGCAAGGCUCCUCUUCUGUCUCCAGAGUAAGAAUAGGCACCACCAUCGUAAGUGAAAUACACAUCCUAAGUGAAAUACACUUGGAGACAAAACAAUCAGCAAACGCACUUGGUCGGCCCAGGACCCGCGCCACCCAGGGACAGAAAGUACCCACGCUCCCACAUUUACACCGACACCCAAGGACCGAUGCUGGAUGCUCGGGGUUGGACGCCCCGCAGGGGUUAGAGGGGUUAACCUGUCCCCGCUCCCCCUCCACCGCCCCCCCUCCCCUCCCUGCCCCUCGUCAGUCUGCUCAGCGUCACUUGUUUUCGUGCCGAGGCGCCCGCUCCUCCCAGCCGCCCGCUGACGUGGCCGCUGGCGCGUCACAGCCCCUGCCGACUGGAAGCUCUGCCCUUAUAUGGGUGUAGACUCCGGAGGGGCCGGGCGACAGCUGCCCCCAUCCCCAGCCAGGCGCUCCGCUUCCAAACAGCUCCCAGGCUGGGGCAAAGGCGGACCAGAUUGGGAAUCGUCUUGCCGAUCCCUGGGUGUUCUCGCUAUUGUGAGCUGUGAAUUUCAGUCCUUUUCCUUGGUGAUUCCUCCUGCUUCUUUCGCAGAAUGCCACUUGGGGAAGGAGCCUGCGGCCUUCACCCCACCACCUCCGGUGGCCAGCUCCACCCUCCUUGUAAAGAUGUCCCCCGCACCUCAGAGCGUCUGAGUCCUGACCGGAGCAGGCAUCUUGUUGGCACGUCCUAGAUGCUUACCUUCCUAUCAGGAAGUUACUCGGUUGCCUAAUUUAGGUGGGUGCCUUUUGUACAACCAAAUCUUUUUGCUCGGAGCUUCAGAGCAAGUGGAGGAAGGGUUACUUUUUUAGCUUUCCGACUCUUCUCCAUCCCUCCAGGGGUUCUCAGAAACUGUCCUCAGGGACUUGGAAAUUGUCCAGGCCUGGAGAUUAGGAAGCCCUUCGCAUACUUAUAUCUUACCAAGACUUCCUUCAGUCCAGGUGGGUAGUUUUCCACUUAACCCUCAACCCUGAUCACCUUUGCAUUAUCUAUUUCUGUUCCUGUUCUCGGUUCACUUUGGGCUGGGGGAAGGGGUUUCAAGGCAGACCAUUUGAAAAGGGCUGACACCCUCGCUUUCACGCAGGCUUUGUUAACAGGUUUGAAGGACAGUGUCAUUUUCUUCUGUCUUUGUCGCCCGCUUC